rnacentral:rRNA from 1 species
AGCGAACGCUGGCGGCAGGCUUAACACAUGCAAGUCGAACGGAUCCUUCGGGAUUAGUGGCGGACGGGUGAGUAACACGUGGGAACGUGCCCUUAGGUUCGGAACAACACAGGGAAACUUGUGCUAAUACCGGAUAAGCCCUUCGGGGGAAAGAUUUAUCGCCUUUGGAGCGGCCCGCGUCUGAUUAGCUUGUUGGUGAGGUAAAGGCUCACCACGGGGACGAUCAGUAGCUGGGCUGAGAGGGUGGCCAGCCACACUGGGACUGAGACACGGCCCAGACUCCUACGGGAGGCAGCAGUGGGGAAUCGUGCGCAAUGGGCGAAAGCCUUACGCAGCCAUGCCGCGUGGAUGAUGAAGGUCUUAGGAUUGUAAAAUCCUUUCACCGGGGACGAUAAUGACGGUACCCGGAGAAGAAGCCCCGGCUAACUUCGUGCCAGCCGCCGCAGUAAAUAC